GCUUGCCCCAUUAGCUGUCCCCUUGUGCUAGAAUCACAUUAGGAGAACGGCAGGCUGUUCAUGGGUAUCAAGGUAGCUGCUGUUGUGCUCUGUCAUGUGGGGACACUGAGAGGCAGAACAUUUUCUGGUAAAGACAGGGAGGCCCAGGCUUAAAAGAUCCAUUUGAAAGGAGGAGAAACCGAGGUGACGCUUCCCAGGCCUGGCAGAUUUCCUCACCACCUGGGUUCUGCCCUUAGGGGGGUCCUCUUGCAGAAGUUCUCAGCCUCCCACAAGUGAAUGUCUCUCCAGCUGAAUCAUGAG